rnacentral:lncRNA from 12 species
AGAACAGAGUAUAGGCUUCUAAAUCCCUCUGAGCCCAGCAAACCUUCCUGCCCUUGCCAAACUCACCAAGGUAGUUGUCUAUACCGGCCAAAUCAAUGUGUAGCUCUGGUUCCAUGAAAUACCCUCUGCUCAAAUCCACAGGGUUCUAUAGCUAGUGGCGCUCUAAGCCCAGCCUUCUUCCUCUCUGUCUCUGUCUCUGUCUUCUUGCCAACUGCAUAAACAGGAGAAAUCACUUACCCAGGGGCAUCUUCUGCUUCGGAGGAGAAACACUUAGGAAGAAAGUAUGAGACAGGGACAGGCAGUCAGGCUUGGGGAGGAGCUUGCAGGGUGCCCUCAGGGAGUUGAGACCCUGGGGAGGCGGGGCCCUCAUGGGGGCGGGGCCUCAGGAGUCUGAGCACUAACCAGACUGGGCCUCAGCUGGGAGUUGGGACCAAAGGCAGAAUAAGCCUGGGAAGGAUGUGAAAGUAGGGAGGAGGUGGCUGAGCUGGAAUCCUGGAGGAAGACUAGAGGACUGCGUCCAGUGUCCAUUUCAGGUGGUGCCACCACCCCCCAAGCACUCCCCAGCCCCAGGGGCCCAGCCUCUUCAGGUGGACUUGCUUACUGCUCCUGUUCCCACCCAGAAGCCUGCGCACACCACUGCUGCCCUUGCUGUUGCAUCCUCAGCUGGCUCCACGGUGGACACAGCAGCUCUGAAGCCCCGGAGGAGUCUUUGCCCACUGUACAGGAUGUUCCUGUCUCUGUCACCACCAUCUCCACAACCACCACCACCACCACCAUUGUAGUCAGAACCUUGACUCUUGCCAUGGCCCAGGUUGCAUCUGCUUAGAAGAAGAAGACAAAGAGCAAGGGGCCCUGCAUCUGCACCCUGAGCAGCAAGGAUUCCAAAACAGCUAAAGACUCCAGAGGCAGAGGCCAUCUAUAAGGGAUCUAGGUUGGCCAGUUCCCCAGGUCCUGUGGACAUGCUCACCAUGAUACCCCCGGGCCUCCUGAGUGUCCUCAGCUGAGUGAAGCCACCUGGGAGAGGGGGGAGUUACA